rnacentral:lncRNA from 11 species
AUAGGCUAUAGUUGUUAUAUUUGAUGGGUGGGUUGAUUCAAGUAUAAUUCAUAAAGUGCCAGAGUGCCAACUAAGAGACAAGGUUUUAACAGCAUGUAGCAGUUCAUUGAGUUAGUAAUAGUCACGUUGUUAAUCAACCAUCAAUGAGGUAGACUCACAGAUUCAAUAUGAACUUAAGAUUCACACACAAAGCGGGGGUCAGAGGGAAGGCUUUCACAGUCUCUGUAGUUGAAAUUCGUGGCCAGAUAGAGAUUGUUACCUCCGCGUCUUCUGAGGCCUCUGUUCUCCUUUGGCCUCCGCGUGGUAACCCGGUUCUACAGCCACCUCCCGGUCUGGCGAGGGGCCUAAUACAGUUCAAGUGGGUCCGGUCCUGACUCAGCGUAAUUUAGCAGGGGCCAGGCAGGUCCCAGCAGGCCCCAACAGGCCCAGUGCGGUCCCAACAGGCCCCAACAGGCCUUGUGCACUCUGCAGAGGCCAGGCAGAGCCAGCAGCUGCCUCACGCCUGGCAACCCGCAGCAGUCAAUCCGGCGGAGAAGCACGGCGGCCAACAAAAGCUCCUCCGAGAUCAGCAAGCCACCGGUAGUCUGAUGAGGAAAUGCGGUGGGCCCAGAGGCUAGUCAAUCGCCUCCCAGUUCAACAAUGGCCCAGCAGAGGUCCCCACAAGCCCACCAGAGCCUCUCCAAACUGCUCCGUGGCUGUUGAACUUUACCGCCAGUGUAAACAAACAAACAGGCCCAGCCAGGUCCCACAGUCCUCCGCUGCUGACGACCCCCCGCCUCUCCCCAACACGGAGGAGCAGCGGUCGUAACAAUCCCAGGGCAGGAGGAGACACCCGGUAGCAAAAUGGGAGCUCAGUGGGCUGCCCCCUCAAUCCCUCCGCAUCCGGGUCUUCAGUCACUGCUGAAAACCCCCGCCUCUCUCCAAUGCAGAGAGGCAGCGGUCGCAGCAGUCCCGGCCGUGGGAAGAGACACUCAGCAACAAGCCCGGUUCCAACAAUCAACUCCAACCCCCCAGACUCUCCGACCUCCUCCAGGACUCGUAGAACGGCAGGAAUGUGUUCUCCAUUUCCAAGAUUAGAGGUGGAGAAGAGGACAGCAGUGGUGAGGAAUUUAAUGGCAAGUCAAAUGUGCACCUACUGUCAAGGAAACACUGCAAGGAAACACAAUAUGGAACACAGUAUUUGAAAGCUAUUUACAAUUUGGACUUUGCAUAAUUUUCAAAUGUUGUUGUUUUCCACAGAAAGCAGCAUUUUCUGCACAGAAAACAUUUUAGGAAAAAUGAGUUCCUGCAUAGAAAGUGCUUUCUAU